rnacentral:rRNA from 1 species
AUCCAUGGCCAGGCUGAAGCGACGGUAAGACGUCGUGGAGGGCCGAACCCACCUAGGUUGAAAAACUGGGGGGAGUGAGCUGUGGAUAGGGGUGGAAAGGCCAAUCAAACUUCGUGAUAGCUGGUUCUCUCCGAAAUGCAUUUAGGUGCAGCGUUGCGUGUUUCUUGCCGGAGGUAGAGCUACUGGAUGGCCGAUGGGCCCCAAAAGGUUACUGACGUCAGCCAAACUCCGAAUGCCGGUAAGUGAGAGCGCAGCAGUGAGACUGUGGGGGAUAAGCUUCAUAGUCGAGAGGGAAACAACCCCAGACCACCAACUAAGGUCCCAAAGCGCGUGCUAAGUGGGAAAGGAUGUGGAGUUGCCUUGACAACCAGGGAGGUUGGCUUAGAAGCAGCCACCCUUGAAAGAGUGCGUAAUAGCUCACUGGUCAAGUGAUUCCGCGCCGACAAUGUAACGGGG